AAUCAAAGACUUCUCAUCGUGCCCAUCAUGGAAUUCUCACUCAUUGGUCAGCCUAUGGAAAUCCUUUGCCAGAAUGUUGGAUGUUGUGUUGGAGCCAGCCAGGCGAGGUCCUGGUCCUGCUCUGUCCUUGUUUAGUGUGUGAUAGGGUGUAUGGAGGUCUCUUGGUGCUGCAUCGUCUGGGCUUUGAUUUACAAAACAGGUCUUGAGAACCAGCUGUGGUACUUUUUGCACCACAGGCUGUGCGGAAGGAGGGACAGGAAGCCCGGCAGCUGGAACCGUGGUCCUUGCGUUUGGUGGCACUUGCCUUCAGGGAUCCUCACCGCAUAGCAGUGACCUUGCACUGAAACUUUAACUCUUUUCCUGCUCAUAGAAUCAUAGACUUGUGGAUUGGUUUGUGUUGGAAGGAACCUUAAAGCUCCUCCAGCUCCAACCCCUGCCCCAGGCAGGGACACCUUCCAUUAGAGCAGGUUGCUCCAAGCCCCUGUGUCCAACCUGGCCUUGAACACUGCCGGGGAUGGAGCUUUAAGGUCCCUCCCAACCCAAACCAGUCUGGGAUUCUGUGGCUCUGUGAUUCUUACUCUUUCAGAAUCAAAUAACAUAAACCAUUAGUUACCUCAUGCUAUAAAUUAGUGUACAUUUGGACUGUAACAUACAUGAGAUAUACAGUAACAUGAAAAUAUGCAUGUUACAUGAAAACAUUGUGAAAUUAGAGAGUAUUUAGUGAAUAACAGUUGCAAUCAUUCAUUCAGUUUUCGGUUCCUGUCCAUGGUUUGAGAUUGAAACAUUCUCUUUGUAGAGUAUCUUCACAGUCAUCCUCAGAGCUCCAUUUUCUUUCUGCUUGAGCCUUUGAACAGAGUUUUCUUUCCUUCCUAAAAUGAAUUGGCCAAAGCACAGGAUGGGAGAGUUCAAAGGGCUGGGGUCUCCUUUAUUUCUGUUCAGAAAGUUCCUUCGUGUGACAUGUGUGCUAUUAAUCUGUGAUUCAUUGCCAUCUCUUGCAUCACAUCCCUCUUUGCCCUUUUAAACCUCAGUGUAUCUGGUGAAACUUGACCAAGAAAAGGCAUUUGUGCUCACGUAGAUACCACCAGCUCCUGCCUGGGAUAGAGCUGGUGGGGUUUUUAUCUUCAGUUUGUCUCAUUUCUCACACUUUCAUACUUUACCUUUUAUGGUGCAGAUCCACAAGAGCAUCCUUCCCUGCCUGCCUUCCCCGAAACUCUAUCAUGGGAUCAGGGCAGAAUUGCAUCAUCUUCCAAGUACAUGCGUUAUCUUUCUUGCUCCGAGAUGCAUUGGCAGCAUCUGCCAUCACUGCUCUGAUGGAAUCCUCCUGUGGGGUUGGGGUUGCCCUGGCUGGGUCAGGUUUGUUACCCCAUUCCCCCCCGGAACCCCAUCCCUGCCCCAGCAUGGAGCUCACCCUCUUGGCAAUCCAGCUGAUGAGCGAGUGCCCUGGAAGGAGCAGUCAGCUUCUAGGGCAAGCCAAUGAUCAGCAAUAAGAAUUCCAGCUCGAAAAACACCGGGUGCCUUUGGUUUAAUUCACAGUCAUUUCUUCUCAUUACAGCUUUGCAGCCAAGUCAUGUUUCAUCUCCAGACAGGCAGGAAAAAGGGAAGGAGAACAUGAUGCACCGAAGGAUCCCAAUGAUCAUUUCCCAAUACCCCACUGUUGUUCCGAGUGCCUUAUAUCCAUCCAGAUCCCAACGAAAGGUGUUUGUGUUCCUUGUGCUCUUCUUCCGCUUCCUCCUUCCCAACCUCAGAGCUGCUUGUGCCACUUGGUGCAUCCUUUAUACGCCCCACCGAGCAUCCCAGCCAAGCCCCGAGGUUGUCUUCAUCAGGGGCUGCACUGGGGACCCUUCCCUUCCUUCCAUGGGCUUUUGCAUGGAACCAGACCAUGGGCUUGAAGAGCAUUAGGGAAAGAGCAUGGGAGUUGGGAGAUGUUGCAGCAUCAUCCUCACCAAGCAGUGUGUUGGUAUUUCACAUCAGAGGAGGAAAGGGGUCGCUUGAGAGUCAAUACCUUCAAGCAGAAAGUCCAUGGGCUGCCCUUGAGGAACGGGGCUGUGCAGGUUCCUUUCCCUCAGGGAUGAUGGAGGUUAUGAGAUGGAGGCUCCUUAAGGAUGAUGAAGAUAAUGCCAUGGGGCUCCUUUCCCUAAGGGAUGAUAGAGACCACAUGAUGGGGGAUAGCUCAGCAGAGCAUCUAACGUGGAGCAGUAACAGGAAUUUGAUGUGUCCUCCUGUCUAUUCAGAAUGUUUUAUUGGUGUCCACCUGAAAACUGUAUGUUGAGUUUGUGCUCCAGGUCUUGGAGAAAUUGUGCUUAAACUCACCUAGAAACUGAUGAUACGAUUUUGUGUUGAAAUAGAACUAAUAUUUAAUAUGAAAUAUUUUAUUAUUUAAUGUGUAAUUUAAAUGAAAUCCUCAUUUCUCAUGUAAAUAUUUUUCCCUUCUGAACUAUAAAUAUCCCUCCUCUGAAUUUUGCUUUUUCUGAAUGAAAAGUCACUGAGGAACGCUUGGGAAGCUGCCCACGAGCUUCUCCCUCUUAUUCCAACCUUGAACAGCAGCACGAUACUGGUGUAAUGGGAGCAUUAGAACAUUCUGUGUUCAGCUGAUGCACGUGGAAGUUGGACCUUGCUGUGGCCACUGGCUUCACCCCAAGCCUGUUGGGUGGUUUGGGGCCGGUUGUGGAUCAUGAGGUUGGGACGUGGGUCAGGUCCUGAGGUGGCUUCACUGUAAACUGGGGUUUCUAAUGGUGUGCUCUCAAGAUAACUAAUAGGUUACUGGGAGAGAGAAGAACAUGGGUGUAUUUACUGAAGCUGUUCUGUUACGUUGCUGGUUUGCAGGUCUGACUGGGUGGCCAUGCUGUUGCUGGUGUCACUGGUGUGACAUAGCUCAUCCUUGGGCAUUCACUGCUCCAACCUGGGAGCCUCCCAGUGACAGACCUGUGCUGGCCUGUAAUGACCCAGUUGUUGGCACAGCUCAGGCUGUGAUGAAGCACUAAAACCCAAUGUCUUGGUCUUGUGCCUUUGGUAGUGGAUGAGAUGCCACCUCCCCACUGAUGGCUGCGGCUGGAGGGAGCCAAGGGGCUCCCCUGGCUUGGGAAGCGCCGGUGCUUGGCCAGGCUGGAGGUCACCAGCUGCAUCGAGCCUUAGUGGGUCCAGCAAUGAGCCAUGGGAUGGAUCUGCUCUGGAACAUGGGGUGAAGGAGCAGCCACCACACGGGCAGGGCUUCCAUUGAGGAGGCUUCAGGAGCAGUGGCUUUGUGUAGGUCUGUAAUCCCCCUUAAACCAGACCUUGAGUUGGGCUUUCCUGGGUGGGAUGAAGGUGGGCACCCUGCGGUGGGUUUGCGGUGAAGGAGGUGCCAGGGAAGGCAGCACAAUGUCUGUGUUGGGGCAGACAUUGCCUCAGUGCUUGGUGCUGAUGGACUCACAGCCAGUUUGCAAACACUUGGUCACCCCAUGGAUCUUCUUCCAGCAUCCAUGGAAGUGUUACCUUGUCCCAUUGCUUCUGUUUGCCUGAGGACGUGAGCAACCCAAAACUUGUGUGCUUGGGCCAUGACACAGCAGAGAACAGAAGAGACCUUGUGAUUAAAGGAAUUAUUGGGAUUUCAAUCAUAGAAUCAUGGAAUGGUUUGGGUUAAAGGACCUUAUGAUCAUCCGGUUCCAGCUCAAUUUCAAGGAAGAAAAGGCUUUCUUCUUCCAGCCUUGUCGGUGAUUCCAAGAGCAGCUUUGGAGCAAGGAGCUCACUUCCUGCUGCUCUCUGUGCCUGAAGUGUUUCCCAUGUAGCUCAGAAGCUCCCCUCGCAGCACCCCCUCCCCUCUCUGCUUGCAGGGGUUGUGCCAGUGAAGGGCAGUUUAUUUGUGGGGUGGAGGCUGCUGGGACAAGAUCCCGGUGGGAAGAGGGUUUGGUGGAAGGUGCUGCUGGUCGGGGAGCAGCGGCUUUGUACGGCCUCGGCUCUUCAUCCCUCCCUCUGCUCAUCAUCUCCUGUUGUUAAUGUAUAUAGGGACUAUUUAUAUAUAUAUAUAUUUCUAAAAUCACCUUAAACCUAUUUUUCUCAGAGCUUUGGGGUUUGCAUAUGAUGAUCAGUAAGUGUGCACCUUCGAAACCGGCGUCAGCAUUGGUACAGUCAAAGGUCUCCACGGUACUGGGCACACCAAGGAGGUUUCUGGAUGGGCAGGAUGUGCUGGAGCUCACUCCAUGGGGCUGAGGGCUGGGAAGGAAUUUCAGUUUAAGAUCAUGGAAUGCUUUGUGUUGAAGGGACCUUAAAGCUCCUCCAGUUCCAACCCCUGCCACGGGCAGGGACACCUUCCACUAGAGCAGGUUGCUCCAAGCCCCUGUGUCCAACCUGGCUCUUUAGGACUUCCCGAGCCAUGGUGCUGGGAAGAAGAUGAAAUACUGGUUUAUUCUGGUUGCCACUUUCUCAGGGGGGUGGUCUCAGCCCUGCGAUAGACGUGCUCUUGGGUGUCCCCAUCUGGUGUUCUCCUCAGUGAGGCUCAUGGCAAAGGAGGCCGCUGGGGUUUAACUUGUUCCGUGGCCGGUUCUGUGUCUGCCCUUUGCACCCGCCUGGGCCGGGACGUGGUUGAAGUUGAGCAGCUCCAGGUCAGAUGUGAAGUUUUAUAGAACCUUUUUGUGAGAUGGGAUUUUCUAAACCCUUUCCUUCACCACAGCCCCAGUACUGGCACUGGAUCCCUUUGGCACUGCAUCCCUUUGGCACUGGAUCCGUUUUGCAGUGCUUGAGACAGUCAUCCCAUACGUGUGUGUGUACGGUCACACACAUGGAUCUACCUGGAGUGGGUAACGUGUUAUUGCACAUUAAAAUAUCCCUGGUUCUAAUGAGGUUUUCUACUCCAGGGUGUAUCUGGACAAACAGAAUCCUUAGGCUCCGCUGUUCCCAGCCCCACAGGACACCAUCAUUGAACCAGUUCAUUUGCACUUGGCACGUUUGAAGCAAUCAGAAUAUUAAAUGUCCUUUUGCCACCUCCUCUUGGUCCACGCUCUGUUGAAUCAGAGCCUCUAGAGUUGCUUCUCUGGAGCUUUUCCAUACCCUCCAUCGGUUUCCAUUGGCAUCAGGCAGCAGUUCAGGCUCGAGGUGGUCAGGUCUAAGGAUUAGACUUGACUCAAGCGCUGAUUCAUUUGGCUUUUUGACUGUUAGCACAAACCUCUUAAGGUCUGUCCACUCUAAAACCCGCCGGUGGCCCCCUUAGGCUCCAGGUCCCCAAAUGCUUCUUUAAACUAAACUAAAACUGAACCAAACCAGUUGUUUUUGUUAAAGAAUUACCUGCAGGAGGUCUGGGAGUUCGUGGGGCUGGUUGGAGCCUAGAGACAGGGUGGUGCAUCCUGGGUCUGUUAAUGCAUUGGGAUGAGCUGGAUUUUGCGGUGCUCGGUGCCCAACACGGUCCCAGAUCUUCAGCGCGUGCUCGUUGGAGAAGCCAGGCUGGUUUCGGUGUCCUGAGGGCCCAGUUUCCCUGGAAAUCUGCCUGUUGGGAACCAGCCGCCGAGCUUCCCAAUGGAUCCGCUUGGGAGGGGCAGGAACAGCAGCAUCAGGGGCUCAGUCGAUGCCUUUUGCCCAAGCCCAGCCCGUGCGCUGGUGGCCAUGGGGGGAGAUGACUCUAUAGCAAUAAGCAUCAGUGGUGUGAGAGCAGCGGUGGCCGUGGGUGGCACCAGGGCCACGGCGGGACGGGGAGGGGGGUCCCCGGGUCCUCCAUGGGUCCUGCUCUGGCUUCACGCGGCCUUUCCUCCGAGCUGGGAAGGGUGGGAGAUGGAGUUGAUGAUGGAAUGCGAUGACAUGGGGGGGGCCUUUACUCUCAUGAUGCCGACUGCCCUUAACUGCUGAGCCGGGUCCUCGUGAGCUCCGUCCGUGUCUGUGUAAAUACGAGGGACAGAUUUGAAAUUACUGCCUUUCCCCCCGUUUACUUUUGGGAGUAAUUCCAGAUGUACUUUUAGUCUCUCUCAACUGUCGGAACUUUUCUAUUGUCAAUCUGAUGCUGGUGGCUUUUGGUUAUUUUUGGUUUCGGUUUUUUUGUAAAAAAGAGAAAAAAAAAAAAAAAAAAAAAAAAGGAAAAAGAAGAAGAAAAACCCAAACUCUGCAUCUCUGUGUUGUCAGUUUUAGGCUGUAAAUUCCAACUAUCAAUAAAAGCUCAAAAUUC
rnacentral:lncRNA from 1 species